CAUCCUGAAGCAGUGGCCAUGGGAGAACAACAAUGUAAGAUGAGCCAGGCUGGGCAUGGAAAAUAAUUCAGGUACAGCUGAUCAGAAUGUAACCAGCACUGAAUGGCUUGAAAUGGUUAAGCUGCACACAAACACCGGCAUGUGAUUGGAAAAGAGAGAAGAGGAAACUUGAGGUGGUGAUGGUUUCAUUUCUUUGAAAUUCAAGCUCAGGUUUCACCAUGUGGCAUUUCCACUGUUCAGACAAAAAAUGGAAUUGAUAAUGCCAUCCUUAAUAAAAUCUGGAAGAAAAAUGUUUGUGGGCAUGAUG